rnacentral:rRNA from 1 species
CCUACGGGAGGCUGCAGUGGGGAAUAUUGCGCAAUGGGCGAAAGCCUGACGCAGCGACGCCGCGUGAGGGAUGAAGGUCUUCGGAUCGUAAACCUCUGUCAGCAGGGAAGAACGGUCACUGUGCUAAUCAGCAGUGAAUUGACGGUACCUGCAAAGGAAGCACCGGCUAACUCCGUGCCAGCAGCCGCGGUAAUACGGAGGGUGCGAGCGUUAAUCGGAUUUACUGGGCGUAAAGGGCGCGUAGGCGGUAUGUCAAGUCAAGGGUGAAAUGCCCGGGCUCGACGUGGGAAUUGCCUUUGAAACUGGCAAACUGGAGUGUGUGAGAGGAGAGUGGAAUUCCAGGUGUAGGAGUGAAAUCCGUAGAUAUCUGGAGGAACAUCGGUGGCGAAGGCGAUUAUCUGGCACAUAACUGACGCUGAGGAGCGAAAGCGUGGGUAGCAAACAGGAUUAGAUACCCGAGUAGUC